rnacentral:tRNA from 1 species
GGAUUGUGGCUCAGCGGUAGAGUGCUGGCUUCACACAUGCAAGACCUUGGGUUCGAUCCUCAGCACCA